ACUGAACGCUGGCGGCAGGCUUAACACAUGCAAGUCGAGCGGGGUGAUGGUGCUUGCACUAUCACUUAGCGGCGGACGGGUGAGUAAUGCUUAGGAAUCUGCCUAUUAGUGGGGGACAACAUCUCGAAAGGGAUGCUAAUACCGCAUACGUCCUACGGGAGAAAGCAGGGGAUCACUUGUGACCUUGCGCUAAUAGAUGAGCCUAAGUCGGAUAGCUAGUUGGUGGGGUAAAGGCCUACCAAGGCGACGAUCUGUAGCGGGUCUGAGAGGAUGAUCCGCCACACUGGGACUGAGACACGGCCCAGACUCCUACGGGAGGCGGCAGUGGGGAAUAUUGGACAAUGGGGGGAACCCUGAUCCAGCCAUGCCGCGUGUGUGAAGAAGGCCUUAUGGUUGUAAAGCACUUUAAGCGAGGAGGAGGCUCUUUUGGUUAAUACCCAAGAUGAGUGGACGUUACUCGCAGAAUAAGCACCGGCUAACUCUGUGCCAGCCGCCGCCGUAA
rnacentral:rRNA from 1 species